rnacentral:RNase_P_RNA from 1 species
GAUGCCGGAUGGUCGCAGGCGUUUUCGCGUCUGAGGAAAGUCCGGGCACCGCAGGGCAGAGUGCCGGGCAGCUCCCGGUGAAGGCGACUUUAAGGAAAGUGCAACAGAGAUAUACCGCGUCUCUCCUUUGGGAGCGGCGUAAGGGUGGAAAGGCGAGGUAAGAGCUCACCAGCGGCAUGGCAACUUGUCCGCUCUGUAAACCCCACUUGGUGCAAGAUUGAUAAGAGGGCAUAUGCGGCGGCCCGUCGCGCUCUCGGGUAAUCGCUCGAGCCUGAUGGCAACUUCAGGCCUAGAUAGAUGGCCAUCUAAGACAGAACCCGGCUUAUAGAC